rnacentral:rRNA from 1 species
GAUGAACGCUGGCGGCGUGCCUAAUACAUGCAAGUCGAGCGAACAGACGAGGAGCUUGCUCCUCUGACGUUAGCGGCGGACGGGUGAGUAACACGUGGAUAACCUACCUAUAAGACUGGGAUAACUUCGGGAAACCGGAGCUAAUACCGGAUAAUAUAUCGAACCGCAUGGUUCAGUAGUGAAAGACGGUUUUGCUGUCUCUUAUAGAUGGAUCCGCGCCGCAUUAGCUAGUUGGUAAGGUAACGGCUUACCAAGGCAACGAUGCGUAGCCGACCUGAGAGGGUGAUCGGCCACACUGGAACUGAGACACGGUCCAGACUCCUACGGGAGGCAGCAGUAGGGAAUCUUCCGCAAUGGGCGAAAGCCUGACGGAGCAACGCCGCGUGAGUGAUGAAGGUCUUCGGAUCGUAAAACUCUGUUAUUAGGGAAGAACAAAUGUGUAAGUAACUAUGCACGUCUUGACGGUACCUAAUGAGAAAGCAACGGCUAACUACGUG